CCUACGGGAGGCAGCAGUGGGGAAUAUUGGACAAUGGGCGAAAGCCUGAUCCAGCCAUGCCGCGUGUGUGAAGAAGGCCUUCGGGUUGUAAAGCACUUUCAGUGGGGAAGAAAGCCUUGGGGCUAAUACCCUCGAGGAAGGACAUCACCCACAGAAGAAGCACCGGCUAACUCCGUGCCAGCAGCCGCGGUAAUACGGAGGGUGCGAGCGUUAAUCGGAAUUACUGGGCGUAAAGCGCGCGUAGGCGGUCUGAUAAGCCGGUUGUGAAAGCCCCGGGCUCAACCUGGGAACGGCAUCCGGAACUGUCAGGCUAGAGUGCAGGAGAGGAAGGUAGAAUUCCCGGUGUAGCGGUGAAAUGCGUAGAGAUCGGGAGGAAUACCAGUGGCGAAGGCGGCCUUCUGGACUGACCCUGACGCUGAGGUGCGAAAGCGUGGGUAGCAAACAGGAUUAGAUACCCCAGUAGUC
rnacentral:rRNA from 1 species